UACGUAGGUGGCAAGCGUUGUCCGGAUUUACUGGGCGUAAAGAGCGCGCAGGCGGUCGUUCAAGUCGCGUGUGAAAGCCCCCGGCUCAACUGGGGAGGGUCACGCGAUACUGAUCGACUCGAAGGCAGGAGAGGGUAGUGGAAUUCCCGGUGUAGUGGUGAAAUGCGUAGAUAUCGGGAAGAACACCCGUGGCUAAGGCGGCUCUCUAGUACGGUACUGACGCUGAGACGCGAAAGCGUGGGGAGCGAACAGG
rnacentral:rRNA from 1 species